AUCAGCACCAUGAUGAUGAUGUCGAACGCCUGUUUCCCGACCAGGUCGAAGAAGAAGCCCUGCACCGUGUUCUGCACAGGAAGACAGUUGUCGAUGAUGACGCCGAUGAAGAGGUUGAGGGUGAAGAAGGAGCCGAAAAUGAUGAAGAUGACAAAGUAGAGCGUGGAGCUAUUUCCAGAUGCUAAUGGAAGGGUUGCCCCCGCCAACCGUUGCCGCGCCGACCAGCCAAACACGGAGAGAUGCUGAGCGACUCGUUGCCAAGGCGACCGGUGUCUGACAACUCUUAAGUUCUCAGCAGCUGAAGUAGCAGAACGACAACUUCUUUCCCUUUUUUUUUCCUCUCUCUCCGUCUCUUUACAUCAACAAACCUGAGGCUGAACUCCAUCCCUCUUUCUCCUUUCCUUCACAGUACAUCCUGUCUUCUUCAUCUCUUCCCUUUCUUCCUUUUGUCUCUCCAUCUCCUCACCUCUCCUCCGUCCCUCUUCUGUCCCUUCAAAUCCAUCCCUCCAUCUCUCUCCUUUCACUGCUGUAUCUUUCUUUCCAUUCGAACCUUAAUUUUCUUACACCAUUUGUACUUUUUCUCCCCCCCCCUCUCUCUCCCUCCAUCUCUCCAUUUCCCUCCCACUUGGCUGGAGUCGCUCUAAAAAUAAAAGCCUCUCAGACGCUGAUUGAUUGGAGGCUCUCAGGACUCCCGUGGUGGGCGACAGAGAGCGAGAAAGAAAAGAGAGAGCGAAGUAGAGACCGAGAGAGAAAAGAGGGAGGAUGGCAACGAUGGAUUGUUCUGCUCGUUUCACACAGUUACACCGAGAUCUGCCGAAGCUGCCGUCUCCCAGGUUUGAUGGACAGGAGGACGAAGACGUGGUGGUGCGAGAGUCGGUAUUAAAAAGCAGCACUGAGGCUUAGAGAGACCGAGGAGUUUGGGUCAUUUGUGAUAUUUUUGUUCAUAUUGGAUCCUAAAAGUCUUAUUUUAUUAAAUCAGACAAUGACAGAGGACAGACUGACACAGGUCAAAAUUAUGUUUGAUUAUGUAAAAUACUGUAAAUACUAUUUUAAGAAAACAAGACUUUCAGGACUCGAUGGUCAAAAUGUGUCGGGAUGAUUGUUAAACUUUUCCUUUAACACGCCGGAUUAAAUAUG